GCAUCGGUGGGUCAGUGGUAGAAUGCUCGCCUGCCACACGGGCGGCCCGGGUUCGAUUCCCGGCCCAUGCA
rnacentral:tRNA from 1 species